AGAAGGUAAUUGAAGAUGUUGAUAAGGACAGACGGUACGCAAUUGACGCUUCAAUUGUGCGCAUCAUGAAGAGCCGAAAAGUUUUGGGUCAUCAACAGUUGGUUAUGGAAUGUGUUGAGCAGUUGGGACGCAUGUUCAAGCCUGAUUUCAAGGCAAUUAAAAAGCGGAUUGAAGAUCUGAUAUCUCGAGACUAUCUGGAGAGGGACAAAGAUAAUCCAAACCUGUUCAGAUACUUGGCAUGAGGUGACUUAGAUGAUUAUACAGACUAAACAGCGACAGUUGCCACUGCAAAUAGCCCAAAAAAAUCAAACUUUGUGGGAAGUAGCUUGAACACAGAAGAUUCCAUCGUAAGUGCAUCUCUGGUGUUUGCAGGGAAGCAUCAGGAGCUUAUAUGCUUGUACAUUUUGCCUUCAGAGCCUGGUAUGGACAUAAGUGUGAGCCAUGGCGGAGAAACUGUAGUUGAUUCGAUAAGGAAUUCCAAUUCGCCAAGGGGCCCUCGGUGGCUGUUUUAACAAAGCCAUAUUUCAUAACUUAUAUCCUGCUUCUUGUUUAUUAAUUUGUUGUUUUCCUGAUGCAAGAAAAUCGAAAAUUCUAUUUUGGCUUGGCCGUCAAUGUUUGUGUGAGAUAUAUCUCGUUGAAUAUGAAAUCCAUGGCUCUGGCUAUGUUCUAUGCGUUUUGUGUAUAUUCUUAUGUCAGAAACAGAAUAUGCCUUCGUUUAAUGUAAUGAAGAUGCUAUAGGAUUGACAGAUUGCAAAUGUUGGAUUCUUCAUUCAGUGCAUUAGAUUUUACAAGGA